UACGUAGGGUGCGAGCGUUAAUCGGAAUUACUGGGCGUAAAGCGUGCGCAGGCGGUUUUGUAAGGCAGAUGUGAAAUCCCCGGGCUUAACCUGGGAACUGCAUUUGUGACUGCAUCGCUGGAGUGCGGCAGAGGGGGAUGGAAUUCCGCGUGUAGCAGUGAAAUGCGUAGAUAUGCGGAGGAACACCGAUGGCGAAGGCAAUCCCCUGGGCCUGCACUGACGCUCAUGCACGAAAGCGUGGGGAGCAAACAGG
rnacentral:rRNA from 1 species